GACGAACGCUGGCGGCGUGCUUAACACAUGCAAGUCGAACAGAAAGGCCCUGCUUUUGUGGGGUGCUCGAGUGGCGAACGGGUGAGUAACACGUGAGUAACCUGCCCUUGACUUUGGGAUAACUUCAGGAAACUGGGGCUAAUACCGGAUAGGAGCUCCUGCUGCAUGGUGGGGGUUGGAAAGUUUCGGCGGUUGGGGAUGGACUCGCGGCUUAUCAGCUUGUUGGUGGGGUAGUGGCUUACCAAGGCUUUGACGGGUAGCCGGCCUGAGAGGGUGACCGGCCACAUUGGGACUGAGAUACGGCCCAGACUCCUACGGGAGGCAGCAGUGGGGAAUAUUGCACAAUGGGCGGAAGCCUGACGCAGCAACGCCGCGUGCGGGAUGACGGCCUUCGGGUUGUAAACCGCUUUCGCCUGUGACGAAGCGUGAGUGACGGUAAUGGGUAAAGAAGCACCGGCUAACUACGUG
rnacentral:rRNA from 1 species